rnacentral:rRNA from 1 species
GAGUUUGAUCAUGGCUCAGAUUGAACGCUGGCGGCAUGCUUUACACAUGCAAGUCGAACGGUAACAGGGAGCUUGCUCCGCUGACGAGUGGCGAACGGGUGAGUAAUGCGUCGGAACGUGCCGAGUAGUGGGGGAUAACGCAUCGAAAGGUGUGCUAAUACCGCAUACGAACUGAGGUUGAAAGUGGGGGACCUUCGGGCCUCACGCUAUUCGAGCGGCCGACGUCUGAUUAGCUAGUAGGUGAGGUAAAGGCUCACCUAGGCGACGAUCAGUAGCGGGUCUGAGAGGAUGAUCCGCCACACUGGGACUGAGACACGGCCCAGACUCCUACGGGAGGCAGCAGUGGGGAAUUUUGGACAAUGGGCGCAAGCCUGAUCCAGCCAUGCCGCGUGUCUGAAGAAGGCCUUCGGGUUGUAAAGGACUUUUGUCUGGGAACAAAUACCCG